rnacentral:rRNA from 1 species
GAUGAACGCUGGCGGCGUGCCUAAUACAUGCAAGUCGAGCGAAGCGGGGACGGGUGAGUAACACGUGGAUAACCUCCUAUAAGACUGGGAUAACUUCGGGAAACCGGAGCUAAACCGGAAACUUAUAGAUGGUUCCGCGCCGCAUUAGCUAGUUGGUACGGUAACGGCUUACCAAGGCAACGAUGCGUAGCCGACCUGCGAGGGUGACCGGCCACACUGGAACUGAGACACGGUCCAGACUCCUACGGGAGGCAGCAGUAGGGAAUCUUCCGCAAUGGGCGAAAGCAUGACAGGGCAACGCCGCGUGAGUGAUGAAGGUAUUCGGAUCGUAAAACUCUGGUAUUAGGGAAGCGGUACCUAAUCAGAAAGCCACGGCUAACUACGUGCCAGCAGCCGCGGUAAUUC